AACGAACGCUGGCGGCGUGCCUAACACAUGCAAGUCGUGCGAGAAAGUUCCUUCGGGAGCGAGUAAAGCGGCGCACGGGUGAGUAACACGUAGGUAACCUGCCCCCCAGUCUGGAACAACUAGAGGAAACUCUAGCUAAUGCCGGAUGAGACCACGAUCCCUUCGGGGGUUGCGGCCAAAGAUGGCCUCUACUUGUAAGCUAUCGCUGAGGGAUGGGCCUGCGGGCCAUUAGCUUGUUGGUGAGGUAACGGCUCACCAAGGCUGUGAUGGCUAGCUGGUCUGAGAGGAUGACCAGCCACACUGGGACUGAGACACGGCCCAGACUCCUACGGGAGGCAGCAGUGGGAAUAUUGCGCAAUGGGCGAAAGCCUGACGCAGCGACGCCGCGUGGAUGAUGAAGGCC
rnacentral:rRNA from 1 species